GAUGAACGCUAGCUACAGGCUUAACACAUGCAAGUCGAGGGGAAACGAUAUUGGAAGCUUGCUUCCGAUAGGCGUCGACCGGCGCACGGGUGAGUAACGCGUAUCCAACCUGCCCAUCACUUGGGGAUAACCUUGCGAAAGUAAGACUAAUACCCAAUGACGUCUCUAGAAGACAUCUGAAAGAGAUUAAAGAUUUAUCGGUGAUGGAUGGGGAUGCGUCUGAUUAGCUUGUUGGCGGGGUAACGGCCCACCAAGGCGACGAUCAGUAGGGGUUCUGAGAGGAAGGUCCCCCACAUUGGAACUGAGACACGGUCCAAACUCCUACGGGAGGCAGCAGUGAGGAAUAUUGGUCAAUGGACGAGAGUCUGAACCAGCCAAGUAGCGUGCAGGAUGACGGCCCUAUGGGUUGUAAACUGCUUUUAUAAGGGAAUAAAGUGAGAGUCGUGACUCUUUUUGCAUGUACCUUAUGAAUAAGGACCGGCUAAUUCCGUGCCAGCAGCCGCAGUAA
rnacentral:rRNA from 1 species